rnacentral:rRNA from 1 species
CUCGGCAAAAUGCCCCCGUAACUUUGGGAUAAGGGGGACCUGAGCUGUCGUGCACCCGUGCGGUGUGGUGGCGGUGAGGGGCGCAGAGUCCAGGGGGAAACGACUGUUUACCAAAAACACAGGUCCGUGCGAAGUCGUAAGACGAUGUAUACGGACUGACUCCUGCCCGGUGCUGGAAGGUUAAGGGGAACUGUGAGUGUGAUGCGUAGCGGUGAACUUAAGCCCCAGUAAACGGCGGUGGUAACUAUA